AUCACUUCAAAAACAAAAAUAGAUAGUUGACUUAGGUUCAGUUUUUUAUGUGAAGUCACAAAUUAUUUCAUGCAAACCAGAGAAAUGAAGGAUUUGAGGAUGAAAGAGAACUAUUUUCAGAUUCUACACUUACUGAAGUUCCAUAAGCCAG